rnacentral:rRNA from 1 species
AAUGAACGCUGGCGGCAUGCCUAACACAUGCAAGUCGAACGAGACCCCUGACUUCGGUUGGCGGGUCUAGUGGCGCACGGGUGCGUAACGCGUGGGAAUCUGCCCUUAGGUCCGGAAUAACUCAGGGAAACUUGAGCUAAUACCGGAUGAUGACGUAAGUCCAAAGAUUUAUCGCCUAAGGAUGAGCCCGCGUAGGAUUAGCUUGUUGGUGAGGUAAAGGCUCACCAAGGCGACGAUCCUUAGCUGGUCUGAGAGGAUGAUCAGCCACACUGGGACUGAGACACGGCCCAGACUCCUACGGGAGGCAGCAGUGGGGAAUAUUGGACAAUGGGCGAAAGCCUGAUCCAGCAAUGCCGCGUGAGUGAUGAAGGCCUUAGGGUUGUAAAGCUCUUUUACCCGGGAAGAUAAUGACUGUACCGGAGAAUAA